AUAUUAUGAUGACCUAAUUCAGUUCUGCUUCUGAGUAUGAUUGAAGACAACUUUACCCACAAUUCUGAUGC